GAUGAACGCUGGCGGCGUGCCUAAUACAUACAAGUCGAGCGAACGGACGAGAAGCUUGCUUCUCUGAUGUUAGCGGCGGACGGGUGAGUAACACGUGGAUAACCUACCUAUGAGACUGGGAUAACUUCGGGAAACCGGAGCUAAUACCGGAUAAUAUUUUGAACCGCAUGGUUCAAAAGUGAAAGACGGUCUUGCUGUCACUUAUAGAUGGAUCCGCGCUGCAUUAGCUAGUUGGUAAGGUAACGGCUUACCAAGGCAACGAUGCAUAGCCGACCUGAGAGGGUGAUCGGCCACACUGGAACUGAGACACGGUCCAGACUCCUACGGGAGGCAGCAGUAGGGAAUCUUCCGCAAUGGGCGAAAGCCUGACGGAGCAACGCCGCGUGAGUGAUGAAGGUCUUCGGAUCGUAAAACUCUGUUAUUAGGGAAGAACAUAUGUGUAAGUAACUGUGCACAUCUUGACGGUACCUAAUCAGAAAGCCACGGCUAACUACGUGCCAGCAGCCGCGGUAAUACGUAGGUGGCAAGCGUUAUCCGGAAUUAUUGGGCGUAAAGCGCGCGUAGGCGGUUUUUUAAGUCUGAUGUGAAAGCCCACGGCUCAACCGUGGAGGGUCAUUGGAAACUGGAAAACUUGAGUGCAGAAGAGGAAAGUGGAAUUCCAUGUGUAGCGGUGAAAUGCGCAGAGAUAUGGAGGAACACCAGUGGCGAAGGCGACUUUCUGGUCUGUAACUGACGCUGAUGUGCGAAAGCGUGGGGAUCAAACAGGAUUAGAUACCCUGGUAGUCCACGCCGUAAACGAUGAGUGCUAAGUGUUAGGGGGUUUCCGCCCCUUAGUGCUGCAGCUAACGCAUUAAGCACUCCGCCUGGGGAGUACGACCGCAAGGUUGAAACUCAAAGGAAUUGACGGGGACCCGCACAAGCGGUGGAGCAUGUGGUUUAAUUCGAAGCAACGCGAAGAACCUUACCAAAUCUUGACAUCCUUUGACAACUCUAGAGAUAGAGCCUUCCCCUUCGGGGGACAAAGUGACAGGUGGUGCAUGGUUGUCGUCAGCUCGUGUCGUGAGAUGUUGGGUUAAGUCCCGCAACGAGCGCAACCCUUAAGCUUAGUUGCCAUCAUUAAGUUGGGCACUCUAAGUUGACUGCCGGUGACAAACCGGAGGAAGGUGGGUAUGACGUCAAAUCAUCAUGCCCCUUAUGAUUUGGGCUACACACGUGCUACAAUGGACAAUACAAAGGGCAGCGAAACCGCGAGGUCAAGCAAAUCCCAUAAAGUUGUUCUCAGUUCGGAUUGUAGUCUGCAACUCGACUACAUGAAGCUGGAAUCGCUAGUAAUCGUAGAUCAGCAUGCUACGGUGAAUACGUUCCCGGGUCU
rnacentral:rRNA from 1 species